GCCAUUACUUUCAAUUUAUGGUUCGGAGUAAUUUUACCCUAGGGUCCUUUGCACCAUGACCUCGAGCCAAA